rnacentral:rRNA from 1 species
UCGGGAAUUUUGGGCAAUGGGGGAAAGCCUGACCCAGCAACGCCGCGUGAAGGAUGAAGUAUUUCGGUAUGUAAACUUCGAAAGAAUAGGAAGAAUAAAUGACGGUACUAUUUAUAAGGUCCGGCUAACUACGUGCCAGCAGCCGCGGUAAUACGUAGGGACCAAGCGUUGUUCGGAUUUACUGGGCGUAAAGGGCGCGUAGGCGGCAAUUCAAGUCAUCUGUGAAAUCUCCGGGCUUAACUCGGAACGGUCAGAUGAUACUGCUUUGCUAGAGUGCAGAAGGGGCAAUCGGAAUUCUUGGUGUAGCGGUGAAAUGCGUAGAUAUCAAGAGGAACACCUGAGGUGAAGACGGGUUGCUGGGCUGACACUGACGCUGAGGCGCGAAAGCCAGGGGAGCAAACGGGAUUAGAUACCCUCGUAGUCCCUGAGCGGGCUGGCAAGGCGCAU